AUAUCCCAUGUAGAGUAUUGGCGUACCAAGCUAAUAAUAAAACUCUCUUUAUUACACACAAAAUAACUCUCAUUCACAUACACCCAUAAUACUACAAACCUCACACACUCACUUCACUACUUCACUACACCUCACAACACUUCCUCACCUCACACCACCACUCACACCCUUACUUCACUAUAUCUCACGGCUCACUCUCACUACACUUCCACCCUCUCACUCUUUCACACCACCUCACACUCACACUUGGUGUGGAGGCCUCACACCUAUUUAUAGGCCUCCAACCUACCUACAUAAGCACUCUAGAAUAUUUUAGAGUACUUGCUUUUAGAACUCACUAAAGUGCUCUAUUAGUAAGUAGAGAGCACUUGUUUCUAGAGUGUUCUAUAAAGAGAGAGAAUACUUAUUUCUAGAGCACUUUGUUCCUAGAGUUUUCUAGAAUGCUCAAUUAGCUAGUAGAGAAUUGGAAAGGGAUAGAGCAUUCUAGAAUGUUCUAUUAAAGAGAGAGGGAGAGUUGCCUCUUUCAAUACUCCCCCUCAACUCUAACUCUCUCUUAAUGUUGCUCUGCUGAGCAUUCCUAAUUGCUUCCGGAACUCUUCUUUGCGGUGCUUAGUCCUUUGGUGAAUAUGUUGGCUAUUUUCUCUUCUGUUUUGAUUCUGCUUCAGCACCUGGAUCUCUCCGUCCAUCGUGUUCCUCCACUCCUUGCUUGUAACUUCUUCUUCGUAGGAGGCCGGCUCUUUUGGAGUCUCUUCUUCUUCGGCGAUAGCAACAUUUGCAUACUUAGAAUUAGGUUUUCUUUGCCUAGAGGAUCUUCGUAACUGCAUACCUAUGUCUUCAAGCUGGCUUGGCUGAUAUUCUUCUGGGGUUUGAUAAUGCACGUCAGUUCGCCAAGGUUCUGGAGACUUCUGGAGUUGCUGCUCAUCACUGGUUGACUCUGUAGAAAGUUGACCACUUUCUUCUUGCUCUGACAUCGUCUUCUCUUCUUCUUGUACUUGCUCUCCAAGCUUUUCUUGUAGUUUGAUUUCUAUCUCUUUAGAGUCUGGCAGUAUAACUUCUAGUGAGGACCACCAGGACGACGCUUCAUCGAACACGACAUUUCUCGACGUGUAACAACGACCGGUUGUUGGGUCACAGCAUCUCCACCCUUUUCUUUCACUGUCGUACCCGACGAAGAUACAUCUUAUCGCCUUCUUGUCGAAUUUAUUUCGAAGAUGGUCCGGUACGAACACAUAGCACACGCAUCCAAAGACUCGAAAAUGACUUACUGUGGGUUUGAUUUUCUACAGUACUUGAUAGGGUGAGAUGAAUCCUAAUUUCGGUUGCGGCAGCCGGUUGAUGACAUGUGCUGCUGUUCUCAUACAUUCUGCCCAAAAUCUGCCUGGCACACUCUUUGCAUGCAGCAUGCUUCGGCAAGUUUCUGCUAGAUGUCUAUUCUCUCUCAGCUAUACCAUUUUGUUGCGGAGUGCGUGAACACGUAAGCUGUCUCCUUAUUUUGCACUCUCACGGGUAAGCUGAGAACUCUGCUGAGGUAUAUUCACCUCCAUUAUCCGUGCGCAGGCAUCGUAUUUUAUAACCGGUUUGGCUUUCAACUUUUACUUUAAAUUCUUUAAAUUUUUGCAGCACUUCAGAUUUUUCUUUAAUAAAGUAUACCCAGAUGUACCUUGAGAAGUCAUCAAUGAACGUCACAAUGUAGCGCAUGCCGCUAAUUGAUGUUUGCUUGACUGGUCCAAAAACAUCAGAGUGCACGAGCUCGAGCGGUACCUUGGCUCUUUAUUUGGAUUCAGUGUAGGGAAGUUGAUGAGCCUUACCAAACUGGCAUCCUGCGCAGAUUGUGUCUCCUCGUACUUCAAGUUGAGGUAAGCCAUUCAGCAUACCACGCUCCAUCAUGAUUUUCAGUUUGUGAUAGCCCACAUGUCCCAGUCUUGCAUGCCACAAAUCAGCAAUCUCACUUUUUCGAGUCUUUUCUACGUAUGCUAAUUCUGCAGACAUUACGUAGAUAGACUCUACUUUCUUUCCUUCCAUGAUUUGUAUACCAGAUAUCUUGGGACUACGAAAUACCUUGACAUCUUGUGACCCAAAUACUACAUAAUUGCCCGAUGCAGUUAGUUGUGAUACUGAUAAGAGAUUUUUCUUCAUACCUGGGACAUGGUAGACGUUCUGUAGUUGUACUUGAUGUGGGCUGAAUCUGGAUGUGAUGAUUGUCUUUCCUAUGUGAGUGAUUGGCAACUUCGAGUUGUUAGCUGUCACCACUACUCUUCCUCCUUUAUAUUCUGUUGUGCUGAGCAGCUUGUCUUUAUCACCAGUCAUAUGAUUGGAACAUCCAGAGUCAAUGAUCCAAUCUGUACUGUAAUUCACAGCUCUUGGAUUUUCUAUUGUUGUUAAUGCAUAUAUUGGUACCUGCUUUGGUAGCUUUUCCUUCUUAGCACCUGAUGUUGCCAUAUUGUCUUGUACUUGUUUCUUCUUGUGCCAACAGUCUCGGGCGAAGUGUUCUUUCUUGCCGCAAUUGUAACACUCUCCGCUACGUCGUCUGUCGCCUUUAAACUGCCAAAAAUUUUGCUCCUUCUGGUUGUGGACUCCCCUUGUAAGGUGGCUCUCUCCCGUCCUUUGUUUUAACCCACUGAACUCCUUCGGCAGCUUCAAAUUUCUUGGCCCUCCUGUUGCUCGACCUUUUCUUCUACUGCUGAAGAGUGCCUCCUCUUCAAUUUUCAGUGAGACUUCAGCCAUCUGUUUGGCUAGAGCCUCCUGAUUAGCCAGUAAAUUUUCUAACUCCACCAAUGUUGGUUGAGUGGGCCAGCCUCGAAUAGCAGUAAUGAACCCGUUAUAUUCGGGUUUUAGGCCGUGAAUAAUAAUUCUCUUCAUCCGCUGGUCACUAAUUUUUGACUCUGAAUCUAAUUGGGAAAUUUCACGGCAGAGAGAUUUUACCUUCAUGAAGUACUGGCUAAUCGUCAUGCUGCCCUGAGAUAUCGUCAUCAGCUCAUUCUCCAGAAGUUGAAGUCGAGCAUCAUUUUUCUUUGAAAAUAACGAGGCGAGGGUGUCCCAUACAGCCUUGGGUGUAUCUGCUUCCUGGAUAUGCUCCAGCAGCUCUUCUGCGAUUGUCGUCUUCAGGACGAACAUCGCCUUCCCUGCCUUAAUACGCCACUUUCUGAACACCUCUGCAUUCUCCUUUGGUGGUGGAGUUGUUUCAGCACCACCAAUUACCUCCCACAAAUCCUGCCCUUGUAGGUAAGACUCAAUGCAGGUUUGCCAAUAACCAUAAUUAUGGUUAUUUAGCUUCUUAAUUCCGCUAGUUGUACCAACAAGAUCUGCCAUAGUGACUUGGUGAUUGCCCAGCAGUCAACCAAGUAAGUCUGGUCCCAGACUGACCAACUUCAUAGUCCCAGACUGUGCACCAGCAGAAUCUCUGCUUAUAUCGGUAUUUAACUGCCUGGACUGGCAGAAUAUCACCGACUUAACUAGCAGAAUAUUUCCUACAAUCUGGCUUUGAUACCAAAUUGUAGAGUAUUGGCGUACCAAGGUAAUAAUAAAACUCUUUAUUACACACAAAAUAACUCUCAUUCACAUACACCCAUAAUACUACAAACCUCACACACUCACUUCACUACUUCACUACACCUCACAACACUUCCUCACCUCACACCACCACUCACACCCUUACUUCACUAUAUCUCACUGUUCACUCUCACUACAUUUCCACUCUCUCACUCUUUCACACCACCUCACACUCACACUUGGUGUGGAGGUCUCACACCUAUUUAUAAGCCUCCAACCUACCUACAUAAGCACUCUA
rnacentral:lncRNA from 1 species